rnacentral:tRNA from 1 species
AUUUAAAUAAUUUAAAUAAAAUAUUGAUUUGUGGAAUCAAAAAUAUGACAAAGUCAUUUUAAAUU